CACGUAGGGCGCAAGCGUUGUCCGGAAUUAUUGGGCGUAAAGAGCUCGUAGGCGGCCUGUUGCGUCCGCUGUGAAAUCCCGGGGCUCAACCCCGGGCCUGCAGUGGAUACGGGCUGGCUAGAGGCAGGCAGGGGAGAACGGAAUUCCUGGUGUAGCGGUGAAAUGCGCAGAUAUCAGGAGGAACACCGGUGGCGAAGGCGGUUCUCUGGGCCUGUACUGACGCUGAGGAGCGAAAGCGUGGGGAGCAAACAGG
rnacentral:rRNA from 1 species